GAAAUGCGAUAAGUAGUGUGAAUUGCAGAAUUCAGUGAAUCAUCGAAUCUUUGAACGCACAUUGCGCCCUUUGGUAUUCCAAAGGGCAUGCCUGUUCGAGCGUCAUUUGUACCCUCAAGCUUUGCUUGGUGUUGGGCGUCUUGUCUCUAGCUUUGCUGGAGACUCGCCUUAAAGUAAUUGGCAGCCGGCCUACUGGUUUCGGAGCGCAGCACAAGGCGCACUCUCUAUCAGCAAAGGUCUAGCAUCCAUUAAGCCUUUUUUCAACUUUUGACCUCGGAUCAGGUAGGGAUACCCGCUGAACUUAAGC
rnacentral:misc_RNA from 1 species